rnacentral:ncRNA from 1 species
UUGAAAAUGAUGAAAAAGACAAGAAACUGUUAUCUGGUUAUCUAAUAGAGAGAAGUGGGUUGGUGGAACACUUCAUCCGAGAUAGUUUUACCACUUUUGAAUCUUUGCUUGAAGUUUAGUAAGGUAAGGCGUAGCGGAGCGUUAGUCCGUUUAAGAGAUUCGUUUAAAACGAAUGAAUUUGGGUGGAACCACGUAGAAAUAACGUCCCAUAG